rnacentral:rRNA from 1 species
UACGGAGGGUGCGAGCGUUGUCCGGAAUCAUUGGGCGUAAAGGGCGCGCAGGCGGCUACGCACGUCCGUUGUGAAAUCGCUCGGCUCAACUGGGCGGGGUCAGCGGAUACGGCGUAGCUGGAGCAAGCUAGGGGGCAAUGGAAUUCCCGGUGUAGUGGUGGAAUGCGUAGAUAUCGGGAGGAACACCAGUGGCGAAGGCGGUUGCCUGGAGCUUUGCUGACGCUGAGGCGCGAAAGCGUGGGGAGCGAUCCGG